UACCGGCAGCACGAGUGAUGGCCGCUGUUAUUGGGCCUAAAGCGUCCGUAGCUGGCCAGGCAAGUCUAUCGGGAAAUCUCCCCGCCUAACGGGGAGGCGUCCGGUGGAAACUGCCUGGCUUGGGACCGGAAGAUCCAGAGGGUACGUCCGGGGUAGGAGUGAAAUCCCGUAAUCCUGGACGGACCACCGGUGGCGAAAGCGCUCUGGAAAGACGGAUCCGACGGUGAGGGACGAAAGCUCGGGUCACGAACCGGAUUAGAAACCCGAGUAGUCC
rnacentral:rRNA from 1 species